rnacentral:rRNA from 1 species
UACGUAGGGUGCAAGCGUUGUCCGGAAUUAUUGGGCGUAAAGAGCUCGUAGGCGGUUUGUCGCGUCUGCUGUGAAAACUCGGGGCUUAACCCCGGGCCUGCAGUGGGUACGGGCAGACUAGAGUGCGGUAGGGGAGACUGGAAUUCCUGGUGUAGCGGUGAAAUGCGCAGAUAUCAGGAGGAACACCAAUGGCGAAGGCAGAUCUCUGGGCCGUAACUGACGCUGAGGAGCGAAAGCAUGGGGAGCGAACAGG